rnacentral:piRNA from 1 species
UGGGCUCUACACAGUGCCUAGCUCUCG